UUCUUCCUUGGUAUUUAAAAGGUGGAUUUUCCUCCUAUGUUUUACAUGCUUCGUGGUUAAUCAUAGAGGAAAAUCCAUAUUUUCAGUAUCAAAUGCUG
rnacentral:pre_miRNA from 1 species